rnacentral:rRNA from 1 species
ACGAACGCUGGCGGCGUGCCUAAUACAUGCCAGUUGAGCGCUGAAGGUUGGUACUUGUACCCACUGGAUGAGCAGCGAACGGGUGAGUAACGCGUGGGGAAUCUGCCUUUGAGCGGGGGACAACAUUUGGGAACGAAUGCUAAUACCGCAUAAAAACUUUAAACACAAGUUUUAAGUUUGAAAGAUGCAAUUGCAUCACUCAAAGAUGAUCCCGCGUUGUAUUAGCUAGUUGGUGAGGUAAAGGCUCACCAAGGCGAUGAUACAUAGCCGACCUGAGAGGGUGAUCGGCCACAUUGGGACUGAGACACGGCCCAAACUCCUACGGGAGGCAGCAGUAGGGAAUCUUCGGCAAUGGACGAAAGUCUGACCGAGCAACGCCGCGUGAGUGAAGAAGGGUUUCGGAUCGUAAAACUCUGUUGGUAGAGAAGAACGUUGGUGAGAGUGGAAAGCUCAUCAAGUGACGGUAACUACCCAGAAAGGGACGGCUAACUACGUG